rnacentral:rRNA from 1 species
CAGUCGCCGCGGGAAUACGAAGGGUGCAAGCGUUAAUCGGAAUUACUGGGCGUAAAGCGCGCGUAGGUGGUUUGGUAAGAUGGAUGUGAAAUCCCCGGGCUCAACCUGGGAACUGCAUCCAUAACUGCCUGACUAGAGUACGGUAGAGGGUGGUGGAAUUUCCUGUGUAGCGGUGAAAUGCGUAGAUAUAGGAAGGAACACCAGUGGCGAAGGCGACCACCUGGACUGAUACUGACACUGAGGUGCGAAAGCGUGGGGAGCAAACAGGAUUAGAUACCCGGGUAGUCCCUGUCUCUUAUAA